UUUGACUGGGGCGGUCUCCUCCCAAAGCGUAACGGAGGAGCACGAAGGUUAGCUAAUCCUGGUCGGACAUCAGGAGGUUAGUGCAAUGGCAUAAGCUAGCUUGACUGCGAGCGUGACGGCGCGAGCAGGUGCGAAAGCAGGUCAUAGUGAUCCGGUGGUUCUGAAUGGAAGGGCCAUCGCUCAACGGAUAAAAGGUACUCCGGGGAUAACAGGCUGAUACCGCCCAAGAGUUCAUAUCGACGGCGGUGUUUGGCACCUCGAUGUCGGCUCAUCACAUCCUGGGGCUGAAGUAGGUCCCAAGGGUAUGGCUGUUCGCCAUUUAAAGUGGUACGCGAGCUGGGUUUAGAACGUCGUGAGACAGUUCGGUCCCUAUCUGCCGUGGGCGCUGGAGAAUUGAGGGGGGCUGCUCCUAGUACGAGAGGACCGGAGUGGACGCAUCACUGGUGUUCGGGUUGUCAUGCCAAUGGCACUGCCCGGUAGCUAAAUGCGGAAGAGAUAAGUGCUGAAAGCAUCUAAGCACGAAACUUGCCCCGAGAUGAGUUCUCCCUGAGACUU
rnacentral:rRNA from 2 species